rnacentral:sRNA from 1 species
UAAGGUAUUGAGCUGUUACCGAUGAUCCAUCGCCUGUAAGGAUCAGCGUCAAGCGGCAAAAACAAAACUCCUGUAGCCUGCAAGGGAGAGCAAGAUUGCGGUACAUCUGCGCACUUUUGGAAGCAGAUGUCGUCAGACAACAACCUA